rnacentral:rRNA from 1 species
UACGUAGGGUGCAAGCGUUAUCCGGAAUUAUUGGGCGUAAAGAGCUCGUAGGCGGUUUGUCGCGUCUGCUGUGAAAACUGGAGGCUCAACCUCCAGCCUGCAGUGGGUACGGGCAAACUAGAGUGCGGUAGGGGAGAUUGGAAUUCCUGGUGUAGCGGUAAUGCGCAGAUAUCAGGAGGAACACCGAUGGCGAAGGCAGAUCUCUGGGCCGUAACUGACGCUGAGGAGCGAAAGCAUGGGGAGCGAACAGG